CGGACCGAGUACGGGUGCCGGGCAGGCUCUUACGGAAGUCCAUUCGCCAUUGGGAGGGCCGCAGAGGCUGCUCUGUGCCCUUGUUGCUGCGGGCCUCUUCCUGGGUCAUUCCCGGAGCAGGACCGGACUGGGGCUGACGCCAGGGCUCCCCGCUGGCCGCCUCGGCGCCUGUGUGACCUCCUCGCCGGCGGGAUGUGGCGAGUUCGCCGGGCUGCCGUGGCCUGUGAGGUCUGCCAGUCUUUAGUGAAACGCAGCUCUGGAACGAAAGGAUGUUUACCACUACAAAAACUACAUCUGGUUUCACGAAGUAUUUAUCAUACACAUCAUCCUACCUUAAAGCUUCAAAGACCCCAAUUAAGGACAUCACUGCAGCAGUUCUCUUCUCUAACUAGCCUUCCUUUACGUAAACUGAAACUUUCUCCGGUUAAAUAUGGCUACCAGCCCCACAGGAAUUUUUGGCCAGCCAGAUUAGCAGCAAGACUCUUGAAACUCCGGUAUCUCAUACUCGGAUCUGCUGUUGGGGGUGGCUAUACAGCCAAAAAGACUUUUGAUCAGUGGAAAGACAUGAUACCUGACCUUAGUGACUAUAAAUGGAUUGUACCUGACAUCGUGUGGGAGAUUGAUGAGUACAUUGAUUUGGAGAAAAUUAGAAAAGCACUUCCUAAUUCAGAGGACCUUGCAAAAUUGGCACCUGACUUUGACAAGAUUGCUGAAAGCCUCAGCUUACUAAAGGACUUUUUCACCACAGGUCACAAAUUGGUUAGUGAAGUCAUAGAAGCUUCUGACCUACUUCUCUUGUUAGGUUCACCUGGAGAAACGGCCUUUAGAGCGACAGAUCCCGGAUCUGAAAGUGACAAGCGUUAUAGAAAGGGUCUGCUUGGUGAGCUCAUUCUCUUACAACAGCAAAUUCAAGAGCAUGAAGAGGAAGCACGCAGAGCUGCUGGCCAGUAUAGCGCGAGCUAUGCCCAACAGAAGCGCAAGGUGUCAGACAAAGAGAAAAUUGACCAGCUUCAAGAAGAGCUUCUGCAUACUCAGUUAAAGUACCAGAGAAUCUUGGAACGGCUAGAAAAGGAGAACAAAGAAUUGAGAAAAUUAGUAUUACAGAAAGAUGACAAAGGCAUCCAUCAUAGAAAGCUUAAGAAAUCUUUGAUUGAUAUGUAUUCUGAAGUUCUUGAUGUUCUGUCUGAUUAUGAUGCCAGUUAUAAUACACAAGAUCAUCUGCCAAGGGUUGUUGUGGUUGGAGACCAAAGUGCUGGAAAAACGAGUGUGUUGGAAAUGAUUGCUCAGGCACGAAUAUUUCCCCGAGGGUCUGGGGAGAUGAUGACACGUUCUCCAGUGAAGGUGACUCUCAGUGAAGGCCCUCAUCAUGUGGCCUUAUUUAAAGAUAGUUCUCGGGAGUUUGAUCUUACUAAAGAGGAAGAUCUUGCAGCAUUAAGACAUGAAAUAGAACUCCGAAUGCGGAAAAAUGUGAAAGAAGGCUGUACUGUCAGUCCAGAGACCAUAUCCUUAAAUGUAAAAGGUCCUGGACUACAGAGGAUGGUGCUUGUUGACCUACCAGGUGUGAUUAAUACUGUGACAUCAGGCAUGGCUCCCGACACAAAGGAAACUAUUUUCAGUAUCAGCAAAGCUUACAUGCAGAACCCUAAUGCCAUCAUACUAUGUAUUCAAGAUGGAUCUGUGGAUGCUGAACGCAGCAUUGUUACAGACUUGGUCAGUCAAAUGGACCCUCAUGGAAGAAGGACGAUUUUCGUCUUGACCAAAGUAGACCUGGCAGAGAAGAACGUGACCAGCCCCAGCAGGAUUCAGCAGAUAAUUGAAGGAAAACUCUUCCCAAUGAAAGCUCUAGGUUAUUUUGCUGUUGUAACAGGAAAAGGAAACAGCUCUGAAAGCAUUGAAGCUAUAAGGGACUAUGAAGAAGAAUUUUUUCAGAAUUCAAAACUCCUAAAGACAAGCAUGCUAAAGGCACACCAGGUGACUACAAGAAAUCUAAGCCUUGCUGUAUCAGACUGCUUUUGGAAAAUGGUACGAGAGUCAGUUGAACAACAGGCUGAUAGUUUCAAAGCAACACGUUUUAACCUUGAAACUGAGUGGAAGAAUAACUAUCCUCGCCUGCGAGAACUUGACCGGAAUGAACUAUUUGAAAAAGCUAAAAAUGAAAUCCUCGAUGAAGUUAUCAGUCUGAGCCAGGUUACCCCAAAACAUUGGGAGGAAAUCCUUCAGCAGUCUUUGUGGGAAAGAGUAUCAACUCAUGUGAUUGAAAACAUCUAUCUUCCAGCUGCACAGACCAUGAAUUCUGGGACUUUUAAUACGACAGUGGAUAUCAAGCUUAAACAGUGGACUGAUAAGCAGCUUCCUAAUAAAGCAGUCGAGGUAGCUUGGGAGACCUUACAAGAAGAAUUUUCCCGCUUCAUGACAGAACCAAAAGGAAAAGAACAUGAUGACAUAUUUGAUAAACUCAAAGAGGCUGUUAAGGAAGAAAGUAUUAAACGUCACAAGUGGAAUGACUUUGCAGAGGACAGCUUGAGGGUUAUUCAACACAAUGCUUUAGAAGAUCGAUCCAUAUCUGAUAAACAGCAAUGGGAUGCAGCUAUUUAUUUUAUGGAAGAGGCUCUUCAGGCUCGUCUCAAGGAUACUGAAAAUGCAAUUGAAAAUAUGGUAGGUCCAGAUUGGAAAAAGAGGUGGUUAUACUGGAAGAAUCGAACUCAAGAACAGUGUGUUCACAAUGAAACCAAGAAUGAGCUGGAGAAGAUGCUGAAGUGUAAUGAGGAGCACCCAGCUUACCUUGCGAGUGAUGAGAUAACUACAGUCCGAAAGAACCUUGAAUCACGAGGAGUAGAAGUAGACCCAGGCUUGAUUAAGGAUACUUGGCACCAAGUUUAUAGAAGACAUUUCUUAAAAACAGCUCUAAACCAUUGUAACCUUUGUCGAAGAGGCUUCUAUUACUACCAGAGGCAUUUUGUUGAUUCUGAGUUGGAAUGCAAUGAUGUUGUCCUGUUUUGGCGAAUACAGCGUAUGCUUGCUAUCACCGCAAAUACUUUAAGACAGCAACUUACAAACACUGAAGUCAGGCGAUUAGAGAAAAAUGUUAAAGAGGUAUUGGAAGAUUUUGCUGAAGAUGGUGAGAAGAAGGUAAAGUUGCUUACUGGCAAACGAGUUCAACUGGCCGAAGACCUCAGUAAAAAAAGUUAGAGAAAUUCAAGAAAAACUUGAUGCAUUUAUUGAAGCUCUUCAUCAGGAGAAAUAAAUUAUAAUAAAAUCCUACUCAUCAUAUAAUCACCUCUGCAUACAUCUGAAGAAAGAAAACUCGAAAGUCUUUUGUCUUGCCUUUUUUUCUUCUGCUAUUCUGCCUUUCUAAACAUAAAAUAAAGUCACGGAAUAAAAAUGAUUUAUGUGUGUUAGAGGCACUUUAACAGUCAGCUGCCUUUUGAAUGGAAGAAAAGUGGAAAUGCCAUUAACAUUCUGUUUUAUUGUAUUAAAGUGAGAAACUGGGAUAAUUUAAGUGGUGUGGCCAUUAGGCUGUCCUUGAAGAUAAGAAACUUGCACUCCUGCUUGUUGUCUCAUUUCUGGUGGCACGAGUUCAACUAACUCAUUAGCCAGCGUUACUUGAUGUAAUUUCUUUUCCAGAGAAAGAAUGUUAGGUGUUUUGAAAUAAAACUUAUGGCAAUUUUCUAAAGGCUAUCAAUUGUAUAUAAAAUGAUGGUAACCUGCUGAGUUGUUGUCUGUAUCUGCAAUGUUCUGUGUACAGAAGCUAUUUGACCAGGAUAGCUCAGUUUAUAUUUACUUGAAAGAAAAUGAGUUAACAGAAAAACUCUUCAAAUAGGUUAAUUUGUAUUACAAUUCUGUGUACAUUCAGUGAAAGAUUUCAACCCUUCAUUGACAGCUUAGAAGUUGCCUUAGAAGCUAAGUCAGUAGCAGCUUACCUAUUUGAUUCAGUUGAUGUUUUUGUACUUUCUCUAUCCAUUUGAAUUCAUUCAUUUUGGAUGUUUUAUACUUGAGCUAGGCUUUCUUGUUGACAGUGUUUUGUUUUUUUUUUUUUUUAACCUGUUGACAGAGCUGUUGGGUUGUGACGUAAGAUGGGGAAGAUUAAGAAUAAUCAGUUGACUAAUUCAUUUAGACUAUUGUCAAACAUUUCAUUGAGGCCUCAGGAAAAGCCUUCUUUCAUAAAACUGUGUUUUAAAUGGAAAUUAUUUCAACAGUUAGAAUUAUGUUGACCAUUCCCUUCUUCCCUGGAUGUUUAAAGAAAAAUAUAAAGUUUAAUUCAUUGCAGUUCAAUUAUGGUAAUAUCCUCACACCAUUUUCAUGUGGUUUUUUUUUUUUUUUUUUUUUAAUAUUUUGUAAUGGCUAAAGGACUUUAAAGCAAAGAAAUAGGCCAUUUUUUACUUUCAAUGUCUUUGCCAUUUAACUCUGCUUCUUGCUGCCUUUUCAUUACACCUUUAGUAUUCUAAUAAAAGUGCCCAGUUUUGUGACAGUUUUUAUUUUACAGUUUACUUAAUUUUUAAGUUUCUUUAGAAUUAUGUUCUGGUAACAGUUCCCACAUUUUUUUAAAUUUAACUUCAGUACAUUCUUUAUUGUGAUCUCUAUCAAGGUCUGACACAAUAUGCAAGGUUAAAGGAUACCACAAAAUAUUUCAGAAAUUGAAAAUUCAGGAAUUAUUUGUUAUAUACUGUUUGAUAGGAUGUAGAUGCAGUUUUAAGCAGAGAGUAUCAAUAUAUUUUAUUUGGGAGCUGAGUCUUCAAGAACAUUUCUGUAUCCUUCAGACCUGGGGACAGUGGGUGGGUGGGAGGGUGGGUGAAUGGAGAGGGAAUAGGGUGCCCCGAUGUUCUGUACAAAGGUUAAGAGGUGACCUUACUGGUUAACUCCCUCUAACUAUUGCUGGCCAUUGAGUGAAUACCCUCACUGAAGCAGACAUCAUUCAGUUAGUAAUUCAUAUUAUUGCAGUUGUAAAACACAGCAACUUUACAACUACAAAUGUAUUUCUAAAAAAAAAAGGAAAAGGACCGUGUUUAUUUCUGUGAGCUAUGGAUAGGGAAAAAAGCGCUCAGCUGUGUUUCUACAGAUUUCCCCCAAGCAAAAGGCUGAUGUUAAGUCAGUGCUUUUAUUGCAUCUCUUUCUAUAAAUUUAAGAAGGGGUGGUUAAAGGAGAUGUCUCCAUUUCUUUGAGAUUGGUAUUUGUGAUUUAAAUAUAUAAAUAAAUAAUAAAAUUUUAUUAAAAAUCCCAUUUUAGAGUCCAGACAUUUCCCUGUCCUACUUGGUAAUAUGACUUCUUUCAUGGAUUAUAUAUUGUUUUCCUUUAUGGUAGAUCUCACACUAAGCAUGCUUCCCUCCCCACUCAAAAGCUAGCUAUUUCUUAAAAUUGGAUGUUUUAAAAGAAAAAAAAAAAAAACCUCUCAAAUUCUCAGCAGUAAACUGUGUUGUGUCAGUAGUUCAGAAAUCACAAAUGAUUCAAAUGCAAACAAAUCACUACACAAAAGUAUAAAAAUGUAACAAGUAGAAACAAAUUCAGUAUACAAAAGUUAAAUUCUAAUGAGACCAGGAGUCAUUUUGUUUUUCACCACAGAAUUUGCAAGGAAUAGAACGAACAAAGCUCUGUACUGAAGACUGAACAACUGUAAAUAGAUUGUAUCUAAAAUUUACUCAAUCCAGGUAUCAAUUUAAGAAAUCAAGCUAUGUAGGCAGUGAAUGAUAGGAAAUGAGCGGUUCCUGCAGCUUCACGGUUGAACCAUAGUUCAGCUGAGCUGUAGUUACAAGCGGAGCAGUCAGCCUUUCUUAGCUGCUUAAUUAUGUCCUCUUUUCUCUGUAUUAUCCCCUCUUUCCAGGCUUUACUCCAACACACUCCUUCCCACAAAUUAUUGAGCCUCCAGAUACAAAUGAAUAGUGUAAUAAUGAGUAGGGAACGUUGCAGAGAGUGGUAUUUCCUGACCUUAUAAUUUGGGAAUUUUGCAUAUGAUAUUAAGAUUCAGAGUGUAGGUUUAAAAGGUAAAUCCCUUAACCAGUCAAUAAUUUUAUUUUUAUUUAUUUUAGAUGUAUUUAUGUGCUAAAAGAAAUAUGUUUUAGUUUUCCAAUAAAGGGGAUCAAAGUUUUGUGGUUUUUGUUGUUUUUUUUUUUCAGUUUUGGUUCUCUAAGCUGGUAUAUGCUAUAGUUUCAGGAACUUCAGCAGUAUAGAAAUGUGCUUAUAAAUAUGCUUACCUUUUGAAUAAUCAUGGCUUUAUGUUUAAAUAUUUAAAACUUAGCCUUGUUUUUACUUGUGCACUAUGAAUGAACUUUGUAUUAUUUUUAAAAAUGUUCACACUAUAUGUAGAUGUUACUGCAAUUUAUAUUUUGCCUGUGCUUGAUCUAAAAUCAUUGGUGUAGAUGAGUAAUUAAAGACACUGAAAUCAUGUUAUUGGA